UCGGUCUUUUGCCUCCAUUCGACUGUUUUCGUUCGGCUGAGUUCGAGGGUCGCCCCAGUGGAAGGAAACCCCCAGGGUAGCGAAGAAGAAGCGAAGAAAAAUUAGUUCUUCCAUCCGUAGAUCGAUGAUGGAAGACCGAUAAUGAAUGAAAGGCCCUUCCGGGGAUUGAAGAACCACCACCCUCGGACUUUUGGAUGGGAUCAGAGGAUGAAGAAUGCCUGGAAAAGAGAGAUGCGGGGAAA
rnacentral:lncRNA from 1 species